GACGGAGGGUGCUAGCGUUGUUCGGAAUCACUGGGCGUAAAGGCGCGUAGGCGGCCUUGCAAGUCGGUUGGUGAAAGCCCGGGGCUCAACCCCGGAGGUGCGGCCGAGACUGCAGGGCUGGAGGCCGGAAGAGGAGGGUGGAAUACCCAGUGUAGAGGUGAAAUUCGUAGAUAUGCGGAGGAACACCGAUGGCGAAGGCAAUCCCCUGGGCCUGUACUGACGCUCAUGCACGAAAGCGUGGGGAGCAAACAGG
rnacentral:rRNA from 1 species